AUUGAACGCUGGCGGCAGGCCUAACACAUGCAAGUCGAGCGAGCGGCGGACGGGUGAGUAAUGUAUGGGGACUGCCCGAUAGAGGGGGAUAACUACUGGAAACGGUGGCUAAUACCGCAUAAUGUCGGAUAACCCAUAUGGGAUUAGCUAGUAGUUAAGGUAAGGGCUUACCUAGGCGACGAUCCCUAGCUGGUCUGAGAGGGUGAUCAGCCAAACUUGGACUGAGACACGGCCCAGAAUCCUGCGGAGGUAGCAGUGGGGGAAAUUUGAAAAUGGGCGCAAGCCUGAUUGAGCCAUGCCGCGUGUAUGAAGAAGGCCCUAGGGUUGUAAAGUACUUUCAGUCGGGAGGCGUUACCGACAGAAGAAGCACCGGCUAACUCCGUGCCAGCAGCCGCGGUAAUAC
rnacentral:rRNA from 1 species